AGCUCGACCAAAUGUGUCCAUUUCCUGAGCCAUUCCUGAGAGCAAUUAGCAGCGCUGAGGAAUUCAGCCCCUCACCGAACGCCAGCAGCACGACUGGAGGCCCUAUUAUCCCCAUCCCCUAUAGAGACGGUGAAGGAGAGCUGCCCAGAUGAUGAAUGGAGAGGGAGUACAGUUUGUGGUUUUGCAGCUUUUCCAAACUCAUGCAGAGUUCUUGGUGUGUGGGCGUCAGAAGUCAAGGCCGAGGAGGUGAGAAGCAUCAUGCUGCUGGACACACAGAGUCUGACAGAACAAGCGGAGUGGACAGUGAGUGAGUCAGAAGACAUCAGAGCUGUUGACAGGCCCAUCCAUCAUCACUCUAAAAUAGCAAGGUACCAAGACAUCACGCACAACUGAUUAAAAACAGGGGCAUUUUAGUGAAGGGAAUAGUGGAACAAAGUACCCUUUGCCGCAACAUGGGAAAGGCCCUCAA